rnacentral:rRNA from 1 species
UAGUGAACCAGUACCGUGAGGGAAAGGCGAAAAGAACCCCGGCGAGGGGAGUGAAAAAGAACCUGAAACCGUGUACGUACAAGCAGUGGGAGCCCCACCACUAAGCCAGUGGUGAACUCCACAUACGCAUCCUUUGCUGAGGAUACGGUUAACGGAGCGCAAGCGACGUUCAACCUCAAAAGAAGCAGAGGGGGCUUAGUGGUGGGGUGACUGCGUACCUUUUGUAUAAUGGGUCAGCGACUUAUAUUCUGUAGCAAGGUUAACCGAAUAGGGGAGCCGGAGGGAAACCGAGUCUUAAC